AAUGAACGUUGGCGGCGUGGAUUAGGCAUGCGGGUCGAGCGAGAACCGUAGCAAUACGGGGACAGCGGCGAAAGGGAGAGGAAUACGUGGGUACCUACCCUCAGACUCAGGAUAGCCAUGGGAAACUAUGGGUAAUACUGAAUAAUGUCUUCGGACCAAAGGUGUGAUUCCGUCCGAGGAGGGGCCCGCGUCCUAUUAGCUAGUUGGUGAGGUAACGGCUCACCAAGGCGAAGAUGGGUACGGGAUGUGAGAGCAUGAUCCCGCUCAUUGGGACUGAGACACUGCCCAGACACCUACGGGUGGCUGCAGUCGAGAAUCUUCGGCAAUGGGGGAAACCCUGACCGAGCGACGCCGCGUGCGAGAUGAAGGCCUUCGGGUUGUAAAUCGCUGUCAGUGGGGAGGAAGUGCAGGUGGGUUCUCCCAUCUGUUUGACCUAUCCGCAGAGGAAGGACGGGCUAAGUUCGUGCCAGCCGCCGCCGUAA
rnacentral:rRNA from 1 species